CAAAUUUGGACAUGGUGAUAAAUCAUCUUUGAAGGCUUUUGUAACUUUGUUUGAUGUGUUAAAAAUCAUGAGCAGAAACAGUAAGUUUGUGAAGCUUGCUACUUGUACCAUUUUUUUAUUAAUUUCACUAUAUCAUUGUUGUUUUCAGAUGGAUUGGUGAUCUUUAUCAUUCUUUUAAAAUGAAUACUGAACUUAGGCUUUGUG
rnacentral:lncRNA from 1 species